rnacentral:rRNA from 1 species
CGUCAGCUCGUGUUGUGAAAUGUUGGGUUAAGUCCCGCAACGAGCGCAACCCUUAUCCUUUGUUGCCAGCGAUUAGGUCGGGAACUCAAAGGAGACUGCCAGUGAUAAACUGGAGGAAGGUGGGGAUGACGUCAAGUCAUCAUGGCCCUUACGACCAGGGCUACACACGUGCUACAAUGGCGCAUACAAAGAGAAGCGACCUCGCGAGAGCAAGCGGACCUCAUAAAGUGCGUCGUAGUCCGGAUUGGAGUCUGCAACUCGACUCCAUGAAGUCGGAAUCGCUAGUAAUCGUGGAUCAGAAUGCCACGGUGAAUACGUUCCCGGGCCUUGUACACACCGCCCGUCACACCAUGGGAGUGGGUUGCAAAAGAAGUAGGUAGCUUAACCUUCGGGAGGGCGCUUACCACUUUGUGAUUCAUGACUGGGGUGAAGUCGUAACAAGGUAACCGUAGGGGAACCUGCGGUUGGAUCACCUCCUUACCUUAAAGAAGC